AGAGUUUGAUCCUGGCUCAGGAUGAACGCUGGCGGCGUGCCUAACACAUGCAAGUCGAACGGAACUGCUUUUAAAGAUUUCUUCGGAAAGAUUUGUUAGUAGUUUAGUGGCGGACGGGUGAGUAACGCGUGAGUAACCUGCCCUUGAGAGGGGGAUAACGUUCUGAAAAGGACGCUAAUACCGCAUAACAUUACGAAGCCGCAUGGUUUUGUAAUCAAAACUGAGGUGCCCAAGGAUGGACUCGCGUCCGAUUAGAUAGUUGGUGAGGUAACGGCUCACCAAGUCGACGAUCGGUAGCCGGACUGAGAGGUUGAACGGCCACAUUGGGACUGAGACACGGCCCAGACUCCUACGGGAGGCAGCAGUGGGGGAUAUUGCGCAAUGGGGGAAACCCUGACGCAGCAACGCCGCGUGGAUGAAGACGGUUUUCGGAUUGUAAAGUCCUUUUCUUGGGGACGAAAAGAUGACGGUACCCAAGGAAUAAGCUCCGGCUAACUACGUGCCAGCAGCCGCGGUAAUACGUAGGGAGCAAGCGUUAUCCGGAUUUACUGGGUGUAAAGGGUGCGUAGGCGGCUAAUUAAGUCAGAUGUGAAAUUUAGAGGCUCAACCUCUAAACUGCAUUUGAAACUAAUUGGCUUGAGUGAAGUAGAGGCAGGCGGAAUUCCCUGUGUAGCGGUGAAAUGCGUAGAGAUAGGGAGGAACACCAGUGGCGAAGGCGGCCUGCUGGGCUUUAACUGACGCUGAGGCACGAAAGCGUGGGUAGCAAACAGGAUUAGAUACCCUGGUAGUCCACGCUGUAAACGAUGAUUACUAGGUGUGGGGGGUCUGACCCCUUCCGUGCCGCAGUUAACACAAUAAGUAAUCCACCUGGGGAGUACGGCCGCAAGGUUGAAACUCAAAGGAAUUGACGGGGGCCCGCACAAGCAGUGGAGUAUGUGGUUUAAUUCGAAGCAACGCGAAGAACCUUACCAGGUCUUGACAUCCUAAGGAUCCUUUAGAGAUAAGGGAGUGCCCUUCGGGGAAUUUAGAGACAGGUGGUGCAUGGUUGUCGUCAGCUCGUGUCGUGAGAUGUUGGGUUAAGUCCCGCAACGAGCGCAACCCUUGCUAUUAGUUGCUACGCAAGAGCACUCUAAUAGGACUGCCGUUGACAAAACGGAGGAAGGUGGGGAUGACGUCAAAUCAUCAUGCCCCUUAUGACCUGGGCUACACACGUACUACAAUGGCCGUCAACAGAGGGCAGCAAAAUAGUGAUAUGGAGCAAAUCCCUAAAAACGGUCUCAGUUCGGACUGCAGGCUGCAACCCGCCUGCACGAAGUUGGAAUUGCUAGUAAUCGCGGAUCAGCAUGUCGCGGUGAAUACGUUCCCGGGCCUUGUACACACCGCCCGUCACACCAUGGGAGCCGGUAAUACCCGAAGUCAGUAGCUUAACCACGUGAGAGCGCUGCCGAAGGUAGGAUUGGCGACUGGGGUGAAGUCGUAACAAGGUAGCCGUAUCGGAAGGUGCGGCUGGAACACCUCCUU
rnacentral:rRNA from 1 species